rnacentral:rRNA from 1 species
AGUCGAACGGGGUGCGUUCGAACGAAGUUUUCGGAUGGAAUUUGGAUGUACCUAGUGGCGAACGGGUGAGUAACACGUGAAUAACCUGCCCUGGAGUGGGGGACAACAGUUGGAAACGACUGCUAAUACCGCAUAAGCCCACAGAGCCGCAUGGCUCAGGGGGAAAAGGAGCAAUUCGCUUCAGGAUGGAUUCGCGUCCAAUUAGCUAGAUGGUGAGGUAACGGCCCACCAUGGCAACGAUUGGUAGCCGGACUGAGAGGUUGAUCGGCCACAUUGGGACUGAGACACGGCCCAGACUCCUACGGGAGGCAGCAGUGGGGAAUAUUGCACAAUGGGGGAAACCCUGAUGCAGCGACGCCGCGUGGAGGAAGAAGGUCUUCGGAUUGUAAACUCCUGUCGUUGGGGACGAUAAUGACGGUACCCAACAAGAAAGCCACGGCUAACUACGUGCCAGCAGCCGCGGUAAAACGUAGGUGGCAAGCGUUGUCCGGAAUUACUGGGUGUAAAGGGAGCGCAGGCGGAAGGACAAGUUGGAAGUGAAACCCACGGGCUCAACCCGUGAACUGCUUUCAAAACUGUUUUUCUUGAGUGGUGUAGAGGUAGGCGGAAUUCCCGGUGUAGCGGUGGAAUGCGUAGAUAUCGGGAGGAACACCAGUGGCGAAGGCGGCCUACUGGGCACUAACUGACGCUGAGGCUCGAAAGCAUGGGUAGCAAACAGGAUUAGAUACCCUGGUAGUCCAUGCCGUAAACGAUGAUUACUAGGUGUGGGAGGAUUGACCCCUUCCGUGCCGCAGUUAACACAAUAAGUAAUCCACCUGGGGAGUACGACCG